rnacentral:misc_RNA from 1 species
GGAAGGAUCAUUAACAAAACAUGAAUUAUUCAAUUCAUAAACCCAUGCUGUGUAUUUGUCCAUGUUGCUUCCGCAAGUCAGGCGCGAGUCAUUGUGCUUUCCUCCCUGUGAGGCAGCUUGCGGAAGGUUAUAACAACUUCUGUCUUUUUUGGUUGUCUGAAAUUUUCUUGCUAUUGAAAUUUUUAAAAACUUUCAACAACGGAUCUCUUGGUUCUCGCAUCGAUGAAGAGCGCAGCGAAAUGCGAUAAGUAGUGUGAAUUGCAGAAUUUUGUGAAUCAUCGAGUUCUUGAACGCACAUUGCGCCCCUUGGUAUUCCAAGGGGCAUGCCUGUUCGAGUGUCAUUAAAACCCUUCAGGUUUGGAUUUGUCCAUUCACUGGUAUUGAUAGUGGCGCACUGCUGUGGUGUUCCGAAUCGAAAUACAAUGGCGCAAAUACUUGUCUCGCCUGCGUAAUAAGCUUCAAUUUUUCGCAGAACGAUUCAUUGUUUGUCGCUACUAAAUGUCAAGCCAAAAGCUCAUGACCUCGGAUCAGGUAAGGAUACCCGCUGAACUUAAGCAUAUCAAUAAGCGGAGGAAAAGAAACCAACAGGGAUUGCCUUAGUAACUGCGAGUGAAGCGGCAACAGCUCAAAUUUGAAAUCUGUCGCCUUUGGCGUCCGAAUUGUAAUCUGGAGAGACGUCUUCGAAGCGAACACCGUUCUAAGUUCCUUGGAACAGGACAUCACAGAGGGUGAGAAUCCCGUGAACGGAUGGCUGUUCAACUUCAUGUGAAGCGUCCUCGACGAGUCGAGUUGUUUGGGAAUGCAGCUCAAAAUGGGUGGUAAAUGUCAUCUAAAGCUAAAUAAAGGCGAGAGACCGAUAGCGCACAAGUAGAGUGAUCGAAAGAUGAAAAGCACUUUGAAAAGAGAGUUAAAAAGUACGUGAAAUUGUUGAAAGGGAAGCGCUUAGGACCAGAUUCAGUUUUCGGUGAUCAGCAGUCCUUCGGGGCUGUGCACUUGCCGUUUGCUGGGACAGCAUCGGUUCGGAUGACAGGAUAAAGGUCCGAGGAAUGUAGCUCCCUUCGGGGAGUGUUAUAGCCACGGGCGCAAUGCUGUCAAUCAGGACCGAGGACCGCGCUUCGGCUAGGAUGCUGUCAAAAUGGUUCUCAGCGACCCGUCUUGAAACACGGACCAAGGAGUCUAACAUCUAUGCGAGUGUUUGGGUGGAAAACCCUUGCGCGUAAUGAAAGUGAACGGAGGUGGGAACUCUUUGGAGCGCACCAUCGACCGAUCCUGAUGUUCUCGGAUGGAUUUGAGUAUGAGCAUAGCUGUUGGGACCCGAAAGAUGGUGAACUAUGCCUGAAUAGGGUGAAGCCAGAGGAAACUCUGGUGGAGGCUCGCAGCGGUUCUGACGUGCAAAUCGAUCGUCAAAUUUGGGUAUAGGGGCGAAAGACUAAUCGAACCAUCUAGUAGCUGGUUCCUGC